rnacentral:lncRNA from 1 species
UCUCUCUGGCCUAUUCCAGCCAACACUAUCUUCUUUGUUCAUGACUAUAAAAAUUGAUGCAUGUGCCUUGUUCUAAAGUGGAAAAUCAUUGGAAAAAUCACUGUUAGCUUGUACUGUCCAUCUGUUCUGUUAACUUGUACUAUGCUGGUACUUAUCGUUUGCAAAAUAUAUCUCACCUUUUGCUGUUAUGAUAAUGUUAUAUGCAUGGUUUCCUAUUAAAUCUAAAGUUCUGAAACAAUUUUUUUAUAUGCAUGGUUUCCUGUUAAAUCUAAAGUUCUGCAACAAAUUGUCAUUGUUAUGAGAAUUUUGUAUUCAUGGAUUCACUUGAUUAUGUUUCUAACUUUUCAUAAUUUAUUAUUUGUAGAUGCUGGCCUUCAUUCUUCAAAAGUUGGGUGUACAUGAGCUGUAGGAAGACGAAUCCCGAAGAAAAACCACACCCAAAAUGCGUUUUAGCUCACUGGAGCUAGUUAUGUGUAUAUUUAGCUGUAUUUUAUAGCCGAAUACCAGAUUUGUACUAUGUAUUUUGCUUGGCUGUUGUAAUGUACUAUCUCAGUUUUGGGUGUACAGGAUUGUAAUGUACUGGUUGGCUGUUGUAUGAAAUAUUAUGCCUUAUUGGCUCUUUUUGAAUCAAAUUAUCUAAUU